rnacentral:rRNA from 1 species
AUUGAACGCUGGCGGCAGGCCUAACACAUGCAAGUCGAACGAGUGGCGGACGGGAGAGUAAUGUCUGGGAAACUGCCUGAUGGAGGGGGAUAACUACUGGAAACGGUCGCUAAUACCGCAUACCAUCAGAUGUGCCCAGAUGGGAUUAGCUAGGUGGGGGGGUAACGGCUCACCAAGGCGACGAUCCCUAGCUGGUCUGAGAGGAUGACAGGCCACACGGGAAGUGGUACACGGUCCAGACUCCUACGUGAGGCAGCAGUGGGGAAUUUGGCACAGGGGGCGCAAGCCUGAUGCAGCCAUGCCGCGUGUAUGAAGAAGGCCUGCGGGUUGUAAAGUACUUUCAGCGGUGAUGCGUUACCCGCAGAAGAAGCACCGGCUAACUCCGUGCCAGCCGCCGCGGUAAUUC